rnacentral:lncRNA from 1 species
CAAAUGCUCAAGGUGACCUAGGGUUUAACUGCCAAUCCUGAUAUGAUCAUCCACAUUGUAUUUCAAUUUUCAAAAUCCAUCAUAUGUAUUACACCGGCCAAGGUUUUACUGAAUUGAAACAUACUGAUACAUUAACUCCUACUUAUUCGGAGGGGUCAAUUUUAUUUUGACUCACACACUGACUUCACAAGUAGUUGACUAUGCUCAGAAACCUUUCAUCAUUGAAUUAGAAAUUCAGUUAGUCUGACAUCAAAGCAUAGUGAGUUGCUUGCAAGUCACCGUGGUGA